rnacentral:rRNA from 1 species
UACAGAGGGGGCGAGCGUUGUUCGGAAUUACUGGGCGUAAAGGGCGCGUAGGCGGCCUUCUAAGUCGAACGUGAAAUCCCCGGGCUCAACCCGGGAACUGCGUCCGAUACUGGGAGGCUUGAAUCCGGGAGAGGGAUGUGGAAUUCCAGGUGUAGCGGUGAAUUGCGUAGAUAUCUGGAGGAACACCGGUGGCGAAGGCGGCAUCCUGGACCGGUAUUGACGCUGAGGCGCGAAAGCUAGGGGAGCAAACGGG